CCUACGGGAGGCAGCAGUGAGGAAUAUUGGUCAAUGGCCGGAAGGCUGAACCAGCCAUGCCGCGUGAAGGUCAGUGCCCUAAGGGCGUUAAACCUCUUUUGUGCGGGAGCAAUAAUGGGCACGUGUGGCCAGACGAGAGUACCGUACGAAUAAGCAUCGGCUAACUCCGUGCCAGCAGCCGCGGUAAUACGGGGGAUGCAAGCGUUUGCCGGAUUUAUUGGGGUUAAAGGGUGCGUAAGCUGUGAGGUAAGUCAGCGGUGAAAUGCCCCCGCUCAACGGGGUGAAGUGCAAUUGAUACUGGCUUGCUGGAAUGCGGAUGCCGUGGGAGGAAUGUGUGGUGUAGCGGUGAAAUGCAUAGAUAUCACACAGAACACCGAUUGCGAAGGCAUCUCACGAAUCCGCGAUUGACGCUGAUGCACGAAAGCGUGGGUAUCAAACAGGAUUAGAUACCCCGGUAGUC
rnacentral:rRNA from 1 species